rnacentral:lncRNA from 1 species
GUUUAAAGUCUUUCCCUGUUGUGAUUGUCUUGGGAGUCAAAUUGUUUUUAAAUUGGUUUGUCACUUGAAUGCAUUUGGAACUUUGUGAUUAGGGUUGUGGAAACCAAGAUAAUGUCUAAGUUAUAUAACAGUUCUUUCCAUAAUCAAUCACUGUCUAGUUUUAGAUCUACCUAAGAAGGUUCUUGCACACAUGGGAAUAAGCUGACUGAGGUAAUAGAUGAGUGGGUCAUCAAUUCACUGUACAGUCAGCCUCCUUGAACCAGCCAUGCCAGAGAACUAUCAGGGGGACUGUGGAAAAAUCACUGAAGACUUUUGUAUCUAAAGCAAGUAUCUGAGGUGUUAUCAGGACUGGAAACAAAACAGUUCCAACUCACUGAUACUGCUCAGAGGGCAGACCCAAAAUGAAUCUGCUCAUGCCUGACACAGGAACUUGUUGUGUUACUUCCCACAAAGAGCCUCGUGGAUCCAUCUUGUUUGCAGCAGCUGGAGAGGAAAUCCCUGCUAGAGGGAUUCAGCCUCCUCUUUGCUGGAAGCCAUUCCCUGCACCAGCGGGGAGCAAGCACGGACACAGCGGAGGUUGAAAUGAGCUCUUUUAUUGGCUGUGCUCAAAUGGGGUGUUGCUUGCCUGACAGCCACAUAAUCUGUGAAGAAAUCCACAGAUACAAA